rnacentral:miRNA from 1 species
CGAAAUGAGGUCGUGACCGUCAGA